rnacentral:rRNA from 1 species
GGUUCAAAAGUGAAAGACGGUCUUGCUGUCACUUAUAGAUGGAUCCGCGCUGCAUUAGCUAGUUGGUAAGGUAACGGCUUACCAAGGCAACGAUGCAUAGCCGACCUGAGAGGGUGAUCGGCCACACUGGAACUGAGACACGGUCCAGACUCCUACGGGAGGCAGCAGUAGGGAAUCUUCCGCAAUGGGCGAAAGCCUGACGGAGCAACGCCGCGUGAGUGAUGAAGGUCUUCGGAUCGUAAAACUCUGUUAUUAGGGAAGAACAUAUGUGUAAGUAACUGUGCACAUCUUGACGGUACCUAAUCAGAAAGCCACGGCUAACUACGUGCCAGCAGCCGCGGUAAUACGUAGGUGGCAAGCGUUAUCCGGAAUUAUUGGGCGUAAAGCGCGCGUAGGCGGUUUUUUAAGUCUGAUGUGAAAGCCCACGGCUCAACCGUGGAGGGUCAUUGGAAACUGGAAAACUUGAGU